ACAUGCGCUCGCGGGAGCGCGGCUCCAGGAUCUCCACCCAGUCAGAGCUGAGGACAAACGAGGGACAGGGUGCAGCGUUACCGGCAGUUCACCAGCGGAGGCCUUCAGAAAGCCAGCCCCAUUCAUGUGGGGGGGGAAGGCGUCUGCGAGCAGCUAGGAGGAGUCCCUCACCGAGGCUCAGCAACGCAGGACAUGUUCACCCACAGAGGACCGCUUCCAGGCACCCAACAUAUAAUCUGCUCUCUUCUCACACAAUGACCACUUGAAGAUCCUGGCAAGACGAGCUCCUUUCUUUUCUUCAGCGCCCCACCCAACUCCAGCUAAACAUCUUCAGCAGAAAGGGCCCGCGGGGAUGAACUGGUGUCGCCGGAAUCUGCGGCACAUUUGGACCUUUGCCCAGUUUCCAGCUCCUCUCUCCGAGGAGAGGAGAAGAGAGGAGGCCUGCUGUCCAGACUACCUGGGCUGCUCAGAGGGAGCAAGGAGCUUAGCGUGGAUCAGAGCACCUCCACGGUCCGACGAAUACGCACAUGGGCUGCCGGCGCUCACGCCAACUCUCCGCUCAGGCUCAGAAAUAGACACCAGAGAGUGGUGCCGGUCCGCUCUGCCAGAUCCACAGCGUCACCCUUCCUGGCAGCGGCCCUGUGGGAACUACAGCUGCUCUCCUAGAGGAGCGCUGCGCUACCUGUUCACCAGGCUUUAAAUAUCACCUUCUGUGUGAUCCGCUGCCAGAAGCAGCCUCCGGCACUUCCCACCCUAAUAAACCGUCCAGGUAAACAUGGAAGCGGGACUAUAGGGGCCUUCCACAUACCGCUUUCCCAUGUGGUCCCCUGCCCUCUGCUGAGAGGCCAUCUGUUUCCACCCCCACCCCCCCACCCCCCCUACACAAGCUCUAACCUCUUGAGGACGUGCCGUGUGUUCGUUUGCCGGCAGUCUGAAUCGAUCACCCGUACGUUUGUGAGGAAAAGGCCAGGUGUGCGUGUCUAAGGACAAAGCUGCCAUUCUGGGGCCGGGACACGACUGCAGAGGUCCCAACAAGGAGCGCAAACUGCUAGAAGAUGACUCACAGCCUGAUUGGAUCGGCAACACUUAAUGGGUGGGACGCCUGGAAUAUAAUGGGCCAUUCAAAGCGAAGUCAACAGUCAACACCCCCCUCCAUACAUACCAGAGGCUUCAUCCUUUUAUUGCUCCCCGCCUGCCGAGGAGACGCUCCCACACUGAGAAGCCGAGCUCUUUGUGCUGCAUUCAGCCCCGUUUAGCCGCGUUAAUCGCCGCUUUCUGCAACGGCCAACGUCGCAGCCUGAGCCUGUGUCUGAUGAACUCCGCGUGAACGAGAUCAGCGAGAGGUCGGUCCCCGAGCCUAGGAGCGUAGCAGCGGCAAAGGACUGCUCCCUUUAUGUAAAUAAACAGCACUUAGAGCUGAGAGCUAGCCUGCGGGGCCUCUGUUCAUAUGAGCAGAUAAUCGCCGCUCGGGCUCUUGGAUUAAUACUGAAGAGCACUAAAAAAAAACAAGCAAGUUCCUUUAAUAAAAAUAUGAUU